GCGCGGCCGCCCGCCGACGGCUCUCUCCCGCCGUGCUCCAUCUACGUUAUGCCGUCCUGCUACUUACACACGAACACUAGACGGGCCUCCCGACGUCCAGGCCGAGAUCCUCUCGUCUUCGCCUGCUGGUCCAGUGGCCACCGCAGCACCCAGCUCUGCAAGGUUCUGACCGACUUCCUGCAGGUGUGACCUGGUGCCACAUCAUCUUAUACACUCACCGCACACCUUCUCACCCCUCCCCGGAGCUGCUCUGUUCAGGAGAGAGAGUCUGUCCUGAGACUUACACAGAAGAUCAAGUAAUCCGCUGCCUUUGAAAAACAGCCAGUUCAGUAACACGACUUCGAAUUGGCUCUCUCUCCCUCCCCGUCUCACUCCCCAUGUCCUCACUUCAUUCUCCAAUAAAGGAA